rnacentral:rRNA from 1 species
AGAUGGGCAUGCGUGACAUUAGCUAGUUGGUGAGGUAACGGCUCACCAAGGCAACGAUGUCUAGGGGUCCUGAGAGGGUUAUCCCCCACACUGGUACUGAGACACGGACCAGACUCCUACGGGAGGCAGCAGUAAGGAAUAUUGGUCAAUGGGCGCAAGCCUGAACCAGCCAUGCCGCGUGCAGGAAGACGGCCCUAUGGGUUGUAAACUGCUUUUGUCAGGGAAUAAACCUGUUUACGAGUAGACAGCUGAAGGUACCUGAAGAAUAAGCAUCGGCUAACUCCGUGCCAGCAGCCGCGGUAAUACGGAGGAUGCAAGCGUUAUCCGGAUUCAUUGGGUUUAAAGGGUGCGCAGGCGGAUUAUUAAGUCAGGGGUGAAAUCCCACGGCUCAACCGUGGAACUGCCUUUGAUACUGAUAGUCUAGAGUAUAGUUGAAGUUGGCGGAAUGUGUCAUGUAGCGGUGAAAUGCUUAGAUAUGACACAGAACACCGAUCGCGAAGGCAGCUAGCUAAGCUAUAACUGACGCUCAUGCACGAAAGCGUGGGGAUCAAACAGGAUUAGAUACCCUGGUAGUCCACGCUGUAAACGAUGAUUACUCGAUGUUGGCGAUACACAGUCAGCGUCUGAGCGAAAGCAAUAA